rnacentral:rRNA from 1 species
UACGUAGGGGGGCAAGCGUUGUCCGGAUUUACUGGGCGUAAAGAGCGUGUAGGCGGCCAAGCAGGUCUGUUGUGAAAACUGGAGGCUCAACCUCCAGACGUCGACAGAAACCGCUUGGCUAGAGUCCGGAAGAGGAGAGUGGAAUUCCUGGUGUAGCGGUGAAAUGCGCAGAUAUCAGGAAGAACACCAAUGGCGAAGGCAGCUCUCUGGGACGGUACUGACGCUGAGACGCGAAAGCGUGGGGAGCGAACAGG